rnacentral:rRNA from 1 species
CCUACGGGGGGCAGCAGUGGGGAAUAUUGCACAAUGGGGGAAACCCUGAUGCAGCGACGCCGCGUGAGUGAAGAAGUAUUUCGUUACGUAAAGCUCUAUCAGCAGGGAAGAAACACUGACCUUACGGUCAGCAGACGGUACCUGAGUAAGAAGCACCGGCUCACUACGUGCCAGCAGCCGCGGUACUACGUAGGGGGCAAGCGUUAUCCGGAUUUACUGGGUGUAAAGGGAGCGUAGACGGUGCGCCAAGUCUGGAGUGAAAUGCCGCAGCUUAACUGCGGAACUGCGUUUGAAACUGGCGAACUAGAGUGCGGGAGGGGUAAGCGGAAUUCCUAGUGGAGCGGUGAAAUGCGUAGAUAUUAGGAGGAACACCGGUGGCGAAGGCGGCUUACUGGACCGUAACUGACGUGGAGGCUCGAAAGCGUGGGGAGCAAACAGGAUUAGAUACCCUUGUAGUC